AUACUUACCUGGCAGGGGAGAUACCAUGAUCACAAAGGUGGUUUUCCCAGGGCGAGGCUUAUCCAUUGCACUCUGGAUGUCCUGACCCCUGUGAUUUCCCCAAUAAAGAAAAAAUGAAAAAAAAAGAC
rnacentral:snRNA from 1 species